GGGAGGAAAGAGCUCAGGCUGAGGGAAGCGUGUGCCUAGACCCAGCGCGGCCAUGUGUGAUGCCGGCGGUUACCGAGCCCUGCGGGGGAGAAGCACAGGCCAACUCAAGGGCAGGCCCUGGGCAGCAGCCUUGGAGGAGUCCAGCUACGAGUACGGCUCCACGAAGUACCUACUGCUUUGCGGCCUGGGUGGGAUGCUGAGUUGCGGGCUGACGCACACAGCCAUCGUGCCUCUGGACCUGGUCAAGUGUCGCAUGCAGGUGGACCCCAGCAAGUACAAGGGCAUCCUGAGCGGCUUUGGCGUGACACUGCGGGAUGACGGGCUGCGCGGCCUGGCCCGAGGCUGGGCCCCGACCUUUCUAGGCUACUCCAUGCAGGGCCUCUUCAAGUUUGGCCUCUACGAGGUCUUCAAAAUCCGCUACGCGGAGCUCCUGAGCCAGGAGAAGGCCUACGAAUGGAGAACCGGGCUGUACCUGGCCGCCUCAGCCAGCGCCGAGUUCUUCGCCGACGUGGCCCUGGCCCCGAUGGAAGCGGUGAAGGUUCGCAUGCAGACGCAGCAGGGCUAUGCCCGCACGCUCCGGGCCGCGGCCCCCAAGAUGUACAGCGAGGAGGGCCUGUGGGCCUUCUACAAAGGCGUGGCGCCGCUCUGGAUGCGCCAGAUCCCCUACACCAUGAUGAAGUUCGCCUGCUUCGAGCGCACGGUCGAGGCGCUCUACAAGUACGUGGUGCCCAAGCCGCAGAGCCAUUGCACCAAAAGUGAGCAGCUGGCCGUGACCUUUGUGGCUGGCUACAUCGCUGGCGUCUUCUGCGCCGUGGUGUCCCACCCUGCGGAUUCUGUCGUGUCCGUUUUGAACAAGGAGAAAGGCAGCACGGCCUUCGACGUUCUCCGCAGGCUGGGGUUCAAGGGCGUGUGGAAAGGCCUGUUCGCCCGGAUCAUCAUGAUUGGCACCCUGACUGCCCUGCAGUGGUUCAUCUACGACUCGGUCAAGGUCUAUUUCAAAUUGCCUCGCCCUCCAGUCCCUCAAGCGCCCAAAUCCCGAAAGUAGGCACGGAUUGGAAGACUCCUGUGGCCACCGUUGGCCAGUAUUUCGAUUCCGUGGGGGGAAUGUUCAAAUAUUAGUCUGUAGGAUGUUAACGUUUGUGGAGAGGUGACAACGUGCAGACCUAGUUUUCUUUUAAGUGAUCCAUUCCUGCUUUUUGGCAAUCCAAGAGAAUUGCAACCGUUUCAUUUGGGAGUUUGGACCAUUGUCUUUGGGGAGUCUGCGUGGUUGCUUUAACUCAAUAGCUUUUCAGCAAUUAUAAGGGGAAAAAAUUCUUAACAGGAAGUAAUGUUAGGUGAUUUAGUGCCUCUAGGUUGUAUCUCCUUUGAUUCACCAUUCAGUGGAGAUUAUCCAGGCAUCACUACAAAAGAGCCUACUGAUAAGGUUUCAAGGUCAGCCCAACUAUAUGGGACAGAGAACAAAGUAAAAUUCUGCUACAUGGUGCUCAUCUCAAUAGAAAUCGUGCGCUUCUUGAAUAGAUGAAGGAUUCGUUCCAUAUUUCUUGUUCAUGUCCAUUGCAGAUAAAAAUUGUUGAAAGUUAAGUUGUGACUUACAUUUCCUGAUAGCUUAGAAUGCAUUCACUCUUUUCAAAGAGCGUGACAUGAGAUCUGCAUUUUCUCUUCCUGAUGUUGCUGAUUAGAACAUAGCUCGCUCCAGGAAGUGCUACAAUUGGAUCAAUGUGGAAAGCCAAGACAAGAUGAAGGGCAGGCUCGGAAUAAAUAUGUAAAGAAAAGUCUCUGUUCUCUAAAGAUUUCUUUUGUACAGUUCAGCUUUCAGCAGCUUUACAUCCAAAGAAGGUCAUACCACCCUGACAUUUAAACACAUACACACAUGAAACCUUCAAAUUCCAACAAUUUUUGGUUGAAUAUUAGUGGUUUUGGCGACUUUAAAAGGAAAAAUCUCAUUUUUAAUGUAACAAAUGUCAUUCAUUUAACUUGGUAUGUCAUUCAUUUACCUUGGUAGAUAUUUCAUUGAUCUUUGCAAUGGUUGAGGUUCAUAAAAUUUAUUGAAGUUAUAAAGCUCAUUUUCAGUUUUUGGUAGCCUUCACAUCUCUGAUUGUGGAAACUAUAAGUGAAAUUCUGUGAAUUAGAGAUGCUUAUAGAAUGUGAAUAAGAAACUCCACUAUAAUAUUUAAUGUGAUUAACCAAAUGUUGCACAAUUGCCCUAACACCUUGUAUUAAAAAACACAAACUUAAACAUAUGUUAAUGUUUUAACUAUGUAAUGGUAAACUGCUUAGUGGUUAACUGAAGUUAAAAAGUGCCUAAAUACAUUUGAACUGUCUUGAUUGGAUAAUAAAGAACUUGGAAGAAAAAAAUCA